UGUCCUCUGCGAUGUUUGCCAGUGGGUCGAUAUCCUUGAGCCAAUACUUGCAGCUAAAGGGACUGAUCUGGUUAGCGAUGGUGUGCAGGUCCGCCCCGCUGCGGAAAGCCUGAUUCGCUCCGAGAGGUCCCAGUCUUGAGCCCCCGGUUCAAGAUUACGGCCCACAGCGGCAUGGUGGAGGGCAC
rnacentral:other from 1 species